rnacentral:tRNA from 1 species
UGGGGAGUGGUGUAACUGGCUAGCACGGAUCCCUUUGGAGGAUCAGGACCGGGUUCGAUCCCUGGCUCCCCAG